rfam:Capronia semiimmersa strain CBS 27337 unplaced genomic scaffold supercont1.2, whole genome shotgun sequence.
GGAUCUAUGGUGUAUCGGUUAGCAUUUCGGGCUAAUACAUACCACAAUCGGUGGGUAUUGGAACCUGACGAGCCUGGUUCAAUUCCAGGUAGAUCCA